GUGAUGUGGAGCCAGCCUCCCUGUGCACACAGCCCACACUGAGGCUGAAGGCCCAUCCUGUGAGGAACAAUGCCAGCAGCCAGCAAACUGCAUUAUGCUGUAUUAUGAGCCGGUAUUUACCAUCUGGCCCAAUCACAGUAACAAGCUGAGCACUUCUGAAUAAAAGACAUUUUUCCUCAAAAUUUAUACUGCCUCCAGUGCCAGUAUUCUCUAUGGACCCUGAGCACAUAAUUAUUUCAUGGGGUAUCCUGCACAUAGAUCCAAGCAGAUGCCGGGACAUCCUGCAGAAGUACCCACGGAGGGUUUAGGCUUUCCAAGGCACACAGGUCGUGCUUGACAUCUGGUUGCUGCAAAGACUAACACAAAAAUGUAUGAGAAAUUUAAUCGUGUUCCAAGAGCUGCAUCCCCGUUGAGCUGUGAACCCAGGCUUCCUUUGGCCUUUUUUGUGUGACAGUAUCUGUCGAACAACUUCUUCAAGAUGUCUCCUGGCAGCUUCUACCGGAUGCAUGCCAUUAUCUACUGUGCUGUCUCCUUGGGAAGGACCUCCACAUCCAACAGGUCAUGCAUUCUGUCAGCCAUAUCAGCUUGCCUAAGAAAGAUCCUGCCACUCCAUGUGAACUUGCUCUCCUGAAUGCUGUAAACCACCAGCACUCACAAAGGCACAAAUGUCAUGCACCUUUCUGAGAUGUUCCUGUCCAGCUCCAGUUCAUUGUUGGAUAUGUUAACCAGGAUCAGAGAUGUUCCCAUGAAGUUACAAAUGGGAACUGAAGACUGAAGAGCUACAGCUUUA
ensembl:lncRNA